GUCCCAUGGUAGGUCGUCUGUCCCGCGCCACCGCAUGCCUUAUAACGCUAAAAAACCUGAAGAAACCCCGAAAAACCAGAUCCACCUGCUCCCCAUCUCCACGCCAAGAUCCAACCGAGCCCCCAUCAUUGUCCGCCGCCUCGGCCCCAUCCUCAACCUCUCGCUACAUAAGAAACUCUGAAGUCAUUCAUACAUUUGAUCAAAUCUGUGCAUAUGCAGUCACUGUGCUUCAUUACCAAAAUCCGGUUAUGUCUUUCUGGUUUAUACCCUUGUUGUUAAUUGCAAACAAGAAAAUGAAUGCACUAUUUUGGCUACUGUAUAGGAUUAAUAUCAUAUUUUUGUGAACUGUUGUACCACCAGUUGUAAACUGAUCAAGUGUCUCUGAUGGAUCAUCUUUGUCAUCCAUGCCUGAAGAAGACAAGAACUGAUCAAGUUUACAUGCAUUUAAGAACUGGCAUUGUUCUUUUCUUGCAGGUGGAGGCGGUGGUUCUGGAGGGGGACAUCCUAGCAUCGCGAGGGCACUUGGCAGAUAUAUAUUACAUUUUGAAGGUGUGCAACCUUCUCCUCGAUCAGAUCCGUUUCGUUGAGCUGGGUGACUAGGUCCUGCUGCUAAGAAGCCGUGGGGAACUCCUAAGGAAAAACGGUCAUUAGUGAAAAAGGAAGCCAACGGUUCAAAACGAGUGCAUCAAAAUGCUAUCCUUAUUAGCGUUGCCAAACGCAUGUAGGCCGAGGGCUAAACGAUACGCUGAAACCGUGGCUUCCAUUGCGACUCUUGGGAAUCCCUACAUGCCGGAUUCCCCAUCCAUGAAACACACACUUUAUGCUUUGAUGAUGACUGACUUCAUGGAGGAAAUUUCGCGUAUGCGGAUGGAGUAUGCUACCUGUGUUGCCACUAUCCUCCAUGAAGAAGAGAAGAUGAUGGAACUGUUAACCGCCGCUUCACAAGAUCCCAACUAAGGAGAAUGAGCGCUCAACGGUGUGACAAUACGCGUUGAAGAAGUUAUAGUGGUACUGUUAAGUGUUGUGUUAAAAUGAUACUAAUAGAUGAUCAUCUAUCUCUCGUAAGAUGAUCAUCUCUCUAUCAUAAGCUUAGUAAUAAGAAUUAGGAAUAUUGUUUAGGAAUGAUGUAUGGAUGUGUUAUCGUGUCUCCUACCUAUGAUUGGAGCAUAUGAAUGAUAUGAAAGCUAAGUACUGGUGACAUCAAUUUGUUUUUCCUUGUGUGUUUUCUACUAGGAAUAAUUGCACAUGACAUUUUUACCAAACUUUACAUGUAACAUGGAUGGUACAGGUAAUGUGCC